rnacentral:rRNA from 1 species
AGGUUAAGUGAAUAAGGGCGCACGGUGGAUGCCUUGGCACUAGGAGCCGAUGAAGGACGGGACUAACACCGAUAUGCUUUGGGGAGCUGUAAGUAAGCUAUGAUCCAGAGAUUUCCGAAUGGGGGAACCCAAUAUCUUUUAUAGGAUAUUACUUUUCAGUGAAUACAUAGCUGAUUAGAGGUAGACGCAGAGAACUGAAACAUCUUAGUACCUGCAGGAAGAGAAAGAAAAUUCGAUUCCCUGAGUAGCGGCGAGCGAAACGGGAAGAGCCCAAACCAACAAGCUUGCUUGUUGGGGUUGUAGGACUCCGAUAUGGUAGUCUGUUAGUAUAGUUGAAGGAUUUGGAAAAUUCCGCUAAAGAGGGUGAAAGCCCCGUAGACGAAAUGCUGACAACACCUAGGAGGAUCCUGAGUACGGCGGAACACGAGAAAUUCCGUCGGAAUCCGCGGGGACCAUCCCGCAAGGCUAAAUACUCCCUAGUGACCGAUAGUGAACCAGUACCGUGAGGGAAAGGUGAAAAGCACCCCGGAAGGGGAGUGAAAUAGAUCCUGAAACCGUGUGCCUACAACAAGUCAAAGCUCGUUAAUGAGUGAUGGCGUGCCUUUUGUAGAAUGAACCGGCGAGUUACGAUUGCAUGCGAGGUUAAGUCGAAGAGACGGAGCCGCAGCGAAAGCGAGUCUGAAUAGGGCGAAUGAGUAUGUAGUCGUAGACCCGAAACCAUGUGAUCUACCCAUGUCCAGGUUGAAGGUGCGGUAAAACGCACUGGAGGACCGAACCCACGUACGUUGAAAAGUGCGGGGAUGAGGUGUGGGUAGCGGAGAAAUUCCAAACGAACUUGGAGAUAGCUGGUUCUCUCCGAAAUAGCUUUAGGGCUAGCCUCGGAAUUGAGAAUGAUGGAGGUAGAGCACUGUUUGGACUAGGGGCCCAUCUCGGGUUACCGAAUUCAGAUAAACUCCGAAUGCCAUUCAUUUAUAUCCGGGAGUCAGACUGCGAGUGAUAAGAUCCGUAGUCGAAAGGGAAACAGCCCAGACCACCAGCUAAGGUCCCAAAAUAUAUGUUAAGUGGAAAAGGAUGUGGGGUUGCACAGACAACUAGGAUGUUGGCUUAGAAGCAGCCACCAUUUAAAGAGUGCGUAAUAGCUCACUAGUCGAGUGACCCUGCGCCGAAAAUGUACCGGGGCUAAACAUAUUACCGAAGCUGUGGACUACACCAUUAGGUGUAGUGGUAGGAGAGCGUUCUAAGGGCGUUGAAGGUCGAUCGUGAGGACGGCUGGAGCGCUUAGAAGUGAGAAUGCCGGUAUGAGUAGCGAAAGACAGGUGAGAAUCCUGUCCACCGUAUGACUAAGGUUUCCUGGGGAAGGCUCGUCCGCCCAGGGUUAGUCGGGACCUAAGCCGAGGCCGAUAGGCGUAGGCGAUGGACAACAGGUUGAUAUUCCUGUACUAGUUGUUUUUGUUUGAGCAAUGGAGGGACGCAGUAGGCUAAGGAAUGCAUGCGAUUGGAAGUGCAUGUCCAAGCAAUGAGUCUUGAGUAGAGUUAAAUGCUUUACUCUCUAAGGACAAGUUGUGACGGGGAGCGAAAUAAUAGUAGCGAAGUUCCUGAUGUCACACUGCCAAGAAAAGCUUCUAGUGAGAAAACAACUGCCCGUACCGUAAACCGACACAGGUAGUCGAGGAGAGUAUCCUAAGGUGAGCGAGCGAACUCUCGUUAAGGAACUCGGCAAAAUGACCCCGUAACUUCGGGAGAAGGGGUGCUGACUUCGGUCAGCCGCAGUGAAUAGGCCCAAGCGACUGUUUAUCAAAAACACAGGUCUCUGCAAAAUCGUAAGAUGAAGUAUAGGGGCUGACGCCUGCCCGGUGCUGGAAGGUUAAGAGGAUGGGUUAGCUUCGGCGAAGCUCAGAAUUGAAGCCCCAGUAAACGGCGGCCGUAACUAUAACGGUCCUAAGGUAGCGAAAUUCCUUGUCGGGUAAGUUCCGACCCGCACGAAAGGCGUAACGAUUUGGGCACUGUCUCAACGAGAGACUCGGUGAAAUUUUAGUACCUGUGAAGAUGCAGGUUACCCGCGACAGGACGGAAAGACCCCAUGGAGCUUUACUGUAGUUUGAUAUUGAGUGUUUGUACCACAUGUACAGGAUAGGUAGGAGCCGAUGAGACCGGAACGCUAGUUUCGGAGGAGGCGCUGGUGGGAUACUACCCUUGUGUUAUGAACCCUCUAACCCGCACCACUAAUCGUGGUGGGAGACAGUGUCAGAUGGGCAGUUUGACUGGGGCGGUCGCCUCCUAAAAGGUAACGGAGGCGCCCAAAGGUUCCCUCAGAAUGGUUGGAAAUCAUUCGAAGAGUGUAAAGGCAGAAGGGAGCUUGACUGCGAGACCUACAAGUCGAGCAGGGACGAAAGUCGGGCUUAGUGAUCCGGUGGUUCCGCAUGGAAGGGCCAUCGCUCAACGGAUAAAAGCUACCCUGGGGAUAACAGGCUUAUCUCCCCCAAGAGUCCACAUCGACGGGGAGGUUUGGCACCUCGAUGUCGGCUCGUCGCAUCCUGGGGCUGUAGUCGGUCCCAAGGGUUGGGCUGUUCGCCCAUUAAAGCGGCACGCGAGCUGGGUUCAGAACGUCGUGAGACAGUUCGGUCCCUAUCCGUCGCGGGCGUUGGAAAUUUGAGAGGAGCUGUCCUUAGUACGAGAGGACCGGGAUGGACUUACCGCUGGUGUACCAGUUGUUCUGCCAAGGGCAUUGCUGGGUAGCUAUGUAGGGAAGGGAUAAACGCUGAAAGCAUCUAAGUGUGAAGCCCACCUCAAGAUGAGAUUUCCCAUUUCUUUAAGAAAGUAAGACCCCUGAGAGAUGAUCAGGUAGAUAGGUUGGAAGUGGAAGGCUAGUGAUAGUUGGAGCGGACCAAUACUAAUCGGUCGAGGACUUAACCAAA